GCUCAGAUUGAACGCUGGCGGCAUGCUUUACACAUGCAAGUCGAAACGGUAACAGGUCUUCGGAUGCUGACGAGUGGCGAACGGGUGAGUAAUACAUCGGAACGUGCCUAGUAGUGGGGGAUAACUACUCGAAAGAGUAGCUAAUACCGCAUGAGAUCUACGGAUGAAAGCAGGGGACCUUCGGGCCUUGUGCUACUAGAGCGGCUGAUGGCAGAUUAGGUAGUUGGUGGGGUAAAGGCUUACCAAGCCUGCGAUCUGUAGCUGGUCUGAGAGGACGACCAGCCACACUGGGACUGAGACACGGCCCAGACUCCUACGGGAGGCAGCAGUGGGGAAUUUUGGACAAUGGGCGAAAGCCUGAUCCAGCAAUGCCGCGUGCAGGAUGAAGGCCCUCGGGUUGUAAACUGCUUUUGUACGGAACGAAAAGCCUGGGGCUAAUAUCCCCGGGUCAUGACGGUACCGUAAGAAUAAGCACCGGCUAACUACGUGCCAGCAGCCGCGGUAAUACGUAGGGUGCAAGCGUUAAUCGGAAUUACUGGGCGUAAAGCGUGCGCAGGCGGUUUUGUAAGACAGUGGUGAAAUCCCCGGGCUCAACCUGGGAACUGCCAUUGUGACUGCAAGGCUAGAGUGCGGCAGAGGGGGAUGGAAUUCCGCGUGUAGCAGUGAAAUGCGUAGAUAUGCGGAGGAACACCGAUGGCGAAGGCAAUCCCCUGGGCCUGCACUGACG
rnacentral:rRNA from 1 species